ensembl:lncRNA
CACAGUUUAAGAUAUUUUAGAUUUCGUCCGAGAGCUUUCUGACCCUCCAUUGCAAAUGUAUGUACGGUAUACUGUCCAUGUCCAGAAAGGUAAUAAAAACAUCAUCAAAGUAUAGUCCAUGUGACAUCAGAGGGUCAGUUAGAAUUUAUUGAAGCAUCGAAAAUACAUUUUGGUAUUUUCAACUUUAUUCAGCACUGUCUUCUCUUCCGGGUCUGUUGUGAGUGCGUUCACAACACUGCAGUGACGCCGCUGACGUACGACGCUGCUGACAUGUUAUCUUUGUUAUUGGGCGCACCAGAAAAUACGUCAGCAGCGUCGUACGUUAGUGGCGUCACUGCAGUGUUGUGAAUGGAGGUCUUACGCGUUUGGAACGACAUGAGGGUGAGUCAUUAAUGACAUAAUUUUAAUUUUUGGGUGAACUAACCCUUUAAUGUGCCUUAACUUAUUUAGAUGAAACGAUAAAGUUGCUUUUUGGCAAUGGCUUCAAACAAAGAGAAAUGUACUCUUUUCUUGCUGCUUCUGGAUACAACAUCAGUGAAAGGCAUCUAAGAAGAUUAAUAAAAUCCCUUGGUUUAAUACGGAGGAGUUUUGACAGGCCCCAUAGUGAAAUUCGCCAAGCUGUUAUGGUACAGUAUGUCUUAAAGCAGUGUUCUGCGUUCCUGCUCCUGGAAAGCCACUAACUUUCUGAUUUCAGUUCCAGUCAUUUACUAAAACACCUGCAGUCAGCUGCAAAAAAACUGCCUGAAGUUAAGAAAAAUCCAAAUGGCUAAGUGUGGUGUCUCAUACUCUGAAUUUGUGCUCUGCAUUUAACCCAUCCAAGUGCGCGCGCGCACACACACACACACACACACACACACACACACACACACACACACACACAUGCACACACCAUGAACACACACCCGGAGCAGUGGGCAGCCACUUUUUGCUGCAGCACCCAGGGAGCAGUUGUGGGUUCAGUGUCUAGCUCAAAGGGACCUCUGUUGUGGGUAGUCCUGGUCAUUCACUCCCCCAACCUUCAUUCCCUGCUGGUGCUGAGACUCAAUCCCGUGACCUUCAGGCUACAAGUCUGACUCUCUAACCAUUAGGCCACGACCCAUAAACCUAACUGUGUUUCAACUGGACACUGGCAGUAAUUUCCAUGUAAACU